AGCUCUCAAAAUGCAUAGAAUUAUUGCUGCGGUUAAAAAGCUCGUAGUUGGAUCUGUGCCAGGGAGUCGGUCCACACUUGUGUGCGCACUGGCUAUCCCAGGCUUGUUUGCCGGUUUUCUCCUCGUCGGUCUUAACCGACUGCGGGGGGUGGCUGGCGAUUUUACUUUGAACAAAUCAGAGUGCUUAACACAGGCGUUUCGCUUGAAUGUUCGUGCAUGGAAUAAUAGAAAAGGAUUUCGGUUCUAUUUUAUUGGUUUUAUAGACUGAGAUAAUGGUUAACAGAGACAAACGGGGGCAUUCGUAUUGCUGCGUGAGAGGUGAAAUUCUUGGACCGCAGCAAGACGAACUACAGCGAAAGCAUUUGCCAAGAAUGUCUUCA
rnacentral:rRNA from 1 species